rnacentral:rRNA from 1 species
CCUACGGGUGGCAGCAGUGAGGAAUAUUGGUCAAUGGGCGAGAGCCUGAACCAGCCAAGUCGCGUGAGGGAGUACUGCCCUAUGGGUUGUAAACCUCUUUUGUCGGGGAGCAAAAGCCGGACGUGUCCGGCUGUGAGAGUACCCGAAGAAAAAGCAUCGGCUAACUCCGUGCCAGCAGCCGCGGUAAUACGGAGGAUGCGAGCGUUAUCCGGAUUUAUUGGGUUUAAAGGGUGCGCAGGCGGAUUUUUAAGUCAGCGGUAAAAUCGUGGGGCUCAACCCCAUCCAGCCGGUGAAACUGGGGAUCUAGAGUGUGCGAGAGGUAUGCGGAAUGCGUGGUGUAGCGGUGAAAUGCAUAGAUAGCACGCAGAACCCCGAUUGCGAAGGCAGCAUACCGGUGCACAACUGACGCUCAGGCACGAAAGCGUGGGUAUCGAACAGGAUUAGAUACCCUUGUAGUC